AUUGAACGCUGGCGGCAUGCCUUACACAUGCAAGUCGAACGGCAGCACGGGUGCUUGCACCUGGUGGCGAGUGGCGAACGGGUGAGUAAUACAUCGGAACAUGUCCUGUAGUGGGGGAUAGCCCGGCGAAAGCCGGAUUAAUACCGCAUACGAUCUACGGAUGAAAGCGGGGGACCUUCGGGCCUCGCGCUAUAGGGUUGGCCGAUGGCUGAUAGCUAGUUGGGGGGGUAAAGGCCUACCAAGGCGACGAUCAGUAGCUGGUCUGAGAGGACGACCAGCCACACUGGGACUGAGACACGGCCCAGACUCCUACGGGAGGCAGCAGUGGGGAAUUUUGGACAAUGGGCGAAAGCCUGAUCCAGCAAUGCCGCGUGUGUGAAGAAGGCCUUCGGGUUGUAAAGCACUUUUGUCCGGAAAGAAAUCCUUGGCCCUAAUACGGUCGGGGGAUGACGGUACCGGAAGAAUAAGCACCGGCUAACUACGUG
rnacentral:rRNA from 1 species